rnacentral:rRNA from 1 species
GAGCGGCGAACGGGUGAGUAACACGUGAGCAACCUGCCCCUGACUCUGGGAUAAGCCUGGGAAACCGGGUCUAAUACCGGAUAUGACCGUCUCCGGCAUCGGACGANGGUGGAAAGAUUUUUUGGUCGGGGAUGGGCUCGCGGCCUAUCAGCUUGUUGGUGGGGUAGUGGCCUACCAAGGCGACGACGGGUAGCCGGCCUGAGAGGGCGACCGGCCACACUGGGACUGAGACACGGCCCAGACUCCUACGGGAGGCAGCAGUGGGGAAUAUUGCGCAAUGGGCGGAAGCCUGACGCAGCGACGCCGCGUGGGGGAUGACGGCCUUCGGGUUGUAAACCUCUUUCAGCAGGGACGAAGGUGACGUGUACCUGCAGAAGAAGCGCCGGCUAACUACGUGCCAGCAGCCGCGGUAAUACGUAGGGCGCAAGCGUUGUCCGGAAUUAUUGGGCGUAAAGAGCUCGUAGGUGGCUGGUCGCGUCUGCCGUGAAAGCCCGCAGCUUAACUGCGGGUCUGCGGUGGAUACGGGCCGGCUAGAGGUAGGUAGGGGCAAGUGGAAUUCCU